rnacentral:rRNA from 1 species
CCUACGGGAGGCAGCAGUGAGGAAUAUUGGUCAAUGGCCGUAAGGCUGAACCAGCCAAGUCGCGUGAAGGAAGACGGACCUAUGGUUUGUAAACUUCUUUUAUCGGGGAACAAAGCUAUCCACGUGUGGUUCUUUGCAUGUACCCGAUGAAAAAGCAUCGGCUAACUCCGUGCCAGCAGCCGCGGUAAUACGGAGGAUGCGAGCGUUAUCCGGAUUUCUUGGGUUUAAGGGGUGCGCAGGCGGUUGUGAAAGUCAGCGGUAAAAUUGCGGGGCUCAACCCCGUAUUGCCGUUGAAACUGCAACACUUGAGUGUGUGAGAGGUAUGCGGAAUGCGUGGUGUAGCGGUGAAAUGCAUAGAUAUCACGCAGAACUCCGAUUGCGAAGGCAGCAUACCGAUGCGCAACUGACGCUGAUGCACGAAAGCGUGGGUAUCGAACAGGAUUAGAUACCCGUGUAGUC